UUCAGCUACGUAUCAAAACAUAUACUACACUCUGUUUUCUUUAGAAUUACUCGGUUAUAACAGGUCUGGGCAUUAACUCCAAAAUUCAUUACAUUCCCGUUUCAUAGCAUCUUAUUAUGGUAUCCGAUCUUUUAUAUAAGGUAUGCUAUCAAUGCUAUCAAUUGCAUUCAAUGGAAAUCGUAUUAUAGUCAAUUUAUAUUUCAAACCUUUAUAUCAAUCGUUUCUUUGGUAAAUUUUGUCUCCUUCGUCCUUCAUCAAUCAUGCUCGAAAAUCAUCCACUCAAUCACAGACGAAAAUCGUCCACUCAAUCGCAGAAAAUAGGUGUUCGGUAAGUUUCUUAAAAGCUUACUUUCAGAUUGUUUGUUUAUUAGUUGAAUCUUCUUGUGUGUUUUUUUUAAUUUUUGUGUUGUUUUUUACACAACAGUUUAUGCUUCUCAAUUCUCAAUGUGUAUGUGUGUGAUAAUCAUAAUCGAAAAUUGUUUCUGCUUCUUAAAAACCUACUUUCAGAUUGCUAAUCAAACAAUAAUGAUGGCUAGGGCAUUUUCGUCCUUCAUCAAUCGUUGUUAAUUUUGAUUUUUCAUGCUUAUCCAUUCUAUCCACUGGAUCAAAUGUUGGAGGGCAUUUUCGUCUUUUGUUUUCUCUUUGUAGUGUAUAUACAUGUACGCCCAAGAAGAUGAUAUUAACAACCUAUCUACCCCUUAAAAAACCUUUUUACCCUUUAUUUAUAUCUGUCAAUCUUAUCCACUUUUGGAUCCUAUUAUUAUAUACUCUUAAUUUGAUAUUUUUAUAACUUAAUUAAGUUGACCAAUCUUACAUCUUCGGGUAACAUUGUUUUCAAAUUAAAAAAAAACACAUCAAAGAGCAUCCAAAAAAACAAAAACACAAAAGAACCACAAAAAAUAAACGUCCCAGCACAAAAAAAAAAAAAAAAAAAAACCCAAAAACAGGAACCAAACAAUAUCAAACAAUAGGAAAAUUGUACUUAAUUUUCAAUUUGGCGUUGCUUUUAUUUAGAAACCAUAAAAAAAUUUGUACUUCUCAGCAUGCAUUCAUUUUCUGUGUUUGCUAACUUUAAAGGCCAAAUUUGUCCUGCUGUUGCUACUUAUUUUUUUAUUGGUAAAAUACCAUUUUUACCCUUUAUUUAUAUUUGAUCAAUAUGAAAUAUACUCAAAUAUCGAUUUCCGGCAUUCUUUAACUAUGAAGUAGAUCAAAUUGGACUAAUAUACCCCUACCCCUGCAUGCAUUCUUUAACAAAUGUUACAAUCAAUAGCAACAUACUUUCAUUUUCUCUUUUUGUUAAUUCUAAAGGACAAAUCUGUCCUGCCUGUUCAUCCUGCCUUUUUUUUGUUAAUUGUAAUGGCCAAAUUUGUUUUUAUAUGUUUACUACUCUAGGGACAUAAUUGUAAUUAUGUUUGUGUUUACAUUUUCUAUGUGUAAUUUUCUUCCAUUCUUUAUCCUUAAUAUUGUAUGUCUUUCUGUUGUAAUUACAAUGGCAGCUACCCAGCAGAAAUAAAAAAACCCAAAAACAGGAACCAAACAAUAUCAAACAAUAGGAAAAUUGUACUUUUCAAUUUGGCGUUGCUUUUAUUUAGAAACCAUAAAAAAAUUUGUACUUCUCAGCAUGCUUUCAUUUUCUGUGAUUGCUAAGUUUAAAGGCCAAAUCUGUCUGCUGUUGCUACUUAUUUUUUUAUUGGUAAAAUACCCUUUUUACCCUUUAUUUAUAUUUGAUCAAUAUGAAAUAUACUCCAAUAUCGAUUUUAUGCCUUCUUUAACUAUGAAGUAGAUCAAAUUGGACUAAUAUACUCCUACCCCUGCAUGCAUUCUUUAACAAACGUUAUAAUCAAUAGCAACAUACUUUCAUUUUCUCUUUUUGUUAAUUCUAAAGGACAAAUCUCUCCUGCCCGUUCAUCCUGCCUUUUUUUUUUAAUUGUAAUGGCCAAAUCUGUUUUUAUAUGUUUACUACUCUAGGGACAUAAUUGUAAUUAUGUUUGUGUUUACAUUUUCUAUGUGUAAUUUUCUUCCAUUAUUUAUCCUUAAUAUUAUAUGUCUUUCUGUUGUAGUGACAAUGGCAGCUAGAAAUAUCACUUUGAUCAGCUACUUAGAUAAUAUGAGGGAUGAUUACACACUAAAAGUGUGUAUCAUCCGGUUGUGGGGAUCAUUUUCCGAAUAUGACUCCACUGUUGUGAAAUCAAUUGAAAUGGUAUUAAUGGAUGAAAUGGGUACAAAAAUCAGAGCCAGUGUCUACCGAAAAGAUUUCCAAAGGUUUGACUCCAAGCUAAAAGAAGAUGACGCUAUUUACAUCCGAUCCCCCAUUAUAGCUCCAAACAAAUACACUUUUAAAAUAAGUGAUGUAACCUCCAAGUUAAACUUGCAUGGACAAACAACUGUUCAUGAGUGUCUUGGUUUUCAAUCCAAAACAAAAUAUGAGUUUUGUUUUGUAUCGUUUGAAACCAUUAUCUUUGCGACAACUACAUCUAAUAUCUCAAUUGAUGUUAUAGGUGAAGUUGUUUCGUUAGGCAAGCUGGAUUCCCGUGAUGUUAGCAUAUCGAAACAUAGGCUAACUUUACAAAUCAGAAACUUAGAAGGUUUGCAGGUUAACGUCACAUUGUUUGCAGAUUUCGCAUACCAAAUGAUUUCUUAUCUUGAAGCUCAUAAACAAGUUGGUCGUGUGGUUAUUAUUUUGCAGUUUGCAAGAAUUAAUGUCUAUAACGAAUUCCUUCUGUUAACAAUUAUUUUGAUCACACACGUAUGUUCAUAAAUGCUGAUCUUCCCGAAAUUGUGGCCUUCACAGAUAGCUUGGUUGGAUUACGAGGAAUUCAAAACCAUUCUUCUUCUUUGACUUUUGAUAGCUCUAAAUCAUACAAUGAAUAUGAAGACUUUUUGAAUAAUCACAAAGUUAAAAAUGUCGUUGAUUUGCUAGAACCACAAGAUGUCGGGAAAUUUAUCAUUGUUGGUACAAUUUACGGUAUACGACAAGAUAUUGAUUGGUAUUAUGAUGCGUGUUCAAACUGUGGAAAGAAAGUUGAUCGAAGAAAUGUUUUUAGCGGUCCAGAUAGUGGUGAAGCAAGUGUGGUUGUUGAAUGCUCUACUGAAAAGUGUAAAAAAAAGGAAAUUUCUUUAGCUCCAAGGU